UCACAUCAAGGUUUGUGAACUAUUCCAUCGCUUAUCACCCAACAGGGAUUGCAGCGUAUCUUUGGUGGUGAAGGCCAGUGAAGUUCCUCUUGCUUAUAAGAUAAAGGCAAUAAACAAGGACAAGAUAUGUAUGGACUUCCUAUCAGUGAC